rnacentral:rRNA from 1 species
AAGCGGAGGAAAAGAAACCAACAGGGAUUGCCUCAGUAACGGCGAGUGAAGCGGCAAAAGCUCAAAUUUUAAAGCUGACAUCUUCGGUGUCCGCGUUGUAAUUUUGUGAGGCAUCUCCGGGUAGGGCGCCGGCCUAAGUUCCUUGGAACAGGACGUCACAGAGGGUGAGAAUCCCGUGCUUGGCUGGCUGUCCCCGUCCAUGUGAGGUGUCUUCGACGAGUCGAGUUGUUUGGGAAUGCAGCUCAAAAUGGGUGGUAAAUUUCAUCUAAAGCUAAAUAUUGGUGGGAGACCGAUAGCGCACAAGUAGAGUGAUCGAAAGAUGAAAAGCACUUUGAAAAUAGAGUUAAAAAGUACGUGAAAUUGUUGAAAGGGAAGCGCUUGAGAUCAGACUUCGGUAAGGGGUGAUCAGCCGUCCUUCUGGGCGGUGCACUUGCCCCCCUCCGGGCCAGCAUCGGUUGAGGCGGCGGGAUAAAGGUCCCGGGAAUGUGGCUCCUUCACGGGAGUGUUAUAGCCCGGGUGAAUGCCGCCAGCUUCGACCGAGGACCGCACCCGCAAGGGUUAGGAUGCUUGGCAUAAUGGUCUUCAGCGACCCGUCUUGAAACACGGA